rnacentral:tRNA from 1 species
GAGCGGGUAAGCAAAAGGAUACGCUAGGCGAUUUAUACCGCUGAGUAUGUGGGUUCGAGUCCUAUCCCGCUCGC